UCCAGAAGUUACCUGGUUCUUGGAAGCUUUCUUCCCAGUUCAUCCAGGACCUUCAGCAAGUGGCUCAGACAAUACUAACUCUCCAAGGACAGACUGACUCACUGGCAGCAGUAGUACUUUGAAAUGGAUGAGGACUGGAUCUCCUCACAGCUAAAGAAGGUGACCUUUGCCUCUUCCUCCAGGAGAAAUGCUGUUUUUAUGUCAACCAGUCAGGAUUAUCAACCUCUGCCCACAGAACCAGAUGACAGUGACCUUCUAAUGGACCCUGAUGGUGGGGGCCAGCUAUAUUCUGAGAAUGACAAUGCCCCUAAUAGGAGGAAGUAACUUGAAGAGCAAAUGUUGCCCCUAUGCCCUUCCCACCAUCACCCUCUUCCUAGCUCCUCACUUUUUAAUAAAACAAAAAGGGAGGAAUGUUGGGAUCCAUAAGCAGGCAUCUCUAUGGACAGCCAAAGGAUCUGACAGAGGGGACAUCAGGCAUCUGUGAAGCCACCUACGGACCACCUGAAAACACCUGCACAUGCUCUGGGUCACCUUAUAAGAGAACUUGCAGCCCCUCUUCUUUCUCUCUUUCUCUCCCUCUCUCCAUCUCUUCCUCUUUCCUUUUCUCCCUCUCUCCUACCCUGCCUAGAAAUGAUCUCUAUAACCCCCUCCCCCUCCCCUUAAUAAAACCUCUCACGUGGA